rnacentral:rRNA from 1 species
CCUACGGGAGGCUGCAGUGGGGAAUAUUGCACAAUGGGGGAAACCCUGAUGCAGCGACGCCGCGUGAGCGAAGAAGUAUCUCGGUAUGUAAAGCUCUAUCAGCAGGGAAGCAAAUGACGGUACCUGACUAAGAAGCCCCGUCUAACUACGUGCCAGGAGCCGCGGGAAUACGUAGGGAGCAAGCGUUAUCCGGAUUUACUGGGUGUAAAGGGGGCGUAGACGGGCGUGCAAGUCAGGUGUGAAAGCCCGGGGCUUAACCCCGGGACUGCCUUUGGAACUGUGAGGCUAGAGUGCAGGAGGGGUAGGCGGAAUUCGUAGUGUAGCGGUGAAAUGCGUAGAUAUUAGGAGGAACACCGGUUGCGAAGGCAGCUUACUGGACGGUGACUGACGUUGAGGCUCGAAAGCGUGGGGAGCAAACAGGAUUAGAUACCCCUGUAGUC